rnacentral:rRNA from 1 species
UUAAGCGACUAAGCGUACACGGUGGAUGCCCUGGCAGUCAGAGGCGAUGAAGGACGUGCUAAUCUGCGAAAAGCGUCGGUAAGGUGAUAUGAACCGUUAUAACCGGCGAUGUCCGAAUGGGGAAACCCAGUGCAAUUCGUUGCACUAUCGUUAACUGAAUACAUAGGUUAACGAGGCGAACCGGGGGAACUGAAACAUCUAAGUACCCCGAGGAAAAGAAAUCAACCGAGAUUCCCCCAGUAGCGGCGAGCGAACGGGGAGCAGCCCAGAGUCUGAAUCAGCUUGUGUGUUAGUGGAACGGUCUGGAAAGUCCGACGGUACAGGGUGAUAGUCCCGUACACCAAAAUGCACAGGCUGUGAACUCGAAGAGUAGGGCGGGACACGUGGUAUCCUGUCUGAAUAUGGGGGGACCAUCCUCCAAGGCUAAAUACUCCUGACUGACCGAUAGUGAACCAGUACCGUGAGGGAAAGGCGAAAAGAACCCCGGCGAGGGGAGUGAAAAAGAACCUGAAACCGUGUACGUACAAGCAGUGGGAGCACCUUCGGGUGUGACUGCGUACCUUUUGUAUAAUGGGUCAGCGACUUAUAUUCUGUAGCAAGGUUAACCGUAUAGGGGAGCCGCAGGGAAACCGAGUCUUAACUGGGCGUUAAGUUGCAGGGUAUAGACCCGAAACCCGGUGAUCUAGCCAUGGGCAGGUUGAAGGUUGGGUAACACUAACUGGAGGACCGAACCGACUAAUGUUGAAAAAUUAGCGGAUGACUUGUGGCUGGGGGUGAAAGGCCAAUCAAACCGGGAGAUAGCUGGUUCUCCCCGAAAGCUAUUUAGGUAGCGCCUCGUGAAUUCAUCUUCGGGGGUAGAGCACUGUUUCGGCUAGGGGUCAUCCCGACUUACCAACCCGAUGCAAACUACGAAUACCGAAGAAUGUUAUCACGGGAGACACACGGCGGGUGCUAACGUCCGUCGUGAAGAGGGAAACAACCCAGACCGCCAGCUAAGGUCCCAAAGUCAUGGUUAAGUGGGAAACGAUGUGGGAAGGCACAGACAGCCAGGAUGUUGGCUUAGAAGCAGCCAUCAUUUAAAGAAAGCGUAAUAGCUCACUGGUCGAGUCGGCCUGCGCGGAAGAUGUAACGGGGCUAAACCAUGCACCGAAGCUGCGGCAGCGACACUAUGUGUUGUUGGGUAGGGGAGCGUUCUGUAAGCCUGCGAAGGUGACCUGUGAGGGUUGCUGGAGGUAUCAGAAGUGCGAAUGCUGACAUAAGUAACGAUAAAGCGGGUGAAAAGCCCGCUCGCCGGAAGACCAAGGGUUCCUGUCCAACGUUAAUCGGGGCAGGGUGAGUCGACCCCUAAGGCGAGGCCGAAAGGCGUAGUCGAUGGGAAACAGGUUAAUAUUCCUGUACUUGGUGUUACUGCGAAGGGGGGACGGAGAAGGCUAUGUUAGCCGGGCGACGGUUGUCCCGGUUUAAGCAUGUAGGCUGGUUAUCCAGGCAAAUCCGGAUAAUCAAGGCUGAGGUGUGAUGACGAGGCACUACGGUGCUGAAGUAACAAAUGCCCUGCUUCCAGGAAAAGCCUCUAAGCAUCAGGUAACAUCAAAUCGUACCCCAAACCGACACAGGUGGUCAGGUAGAGAAUACCAAGGCGCUUGAGAGAACUCGGGUGAAGGAACUAGGCAAAAUGGUGCCGUAACUUCGGGAGAAGGCACGCUGGUGUGUAGGUGAAGCCCCUGCGGGUGGAGCUGAGACCAGUCGAAGAUACCAGCUGGCUGCAACUGUUUAUUAAAAACACAGCACUGUGCAAACACGAAAGUGGACGUAUACGGUGUGACGCCUGCCCGGUGCCGGAAGGUUAAUUGAUGGGGUUAUCCGUAAGGAGAAGCUCUUGAUCGAAGCCCCGGUAAACGGCGGCCGUAACUAUAACGGUCCUAAGGUAGCGAAAUUCCUUGUCGGGUAAGUUCCGACCUGCACGAAUGGCGUAAUGAUGGCCAGGCUGUCUCCACCGAGACUCAGUGAAAUUGAACUCGCUGUGAAGAUGCAGUGUACCCGCGGCAAGACGGAAAGACCCCGUGAACCUUUACUAUAGCUUGACACUGAACAUUGAGCCUUGAUGUGUAGGAUAGGUGGGAGGCUUUGAAGCGUGGACGCCAGUCUGCGUGGAGCCAACCUUGAAAUACCACCCUUUAAUGUUUGAUGUUCUAACGUUGGCCCCUGACCGGGGUUGCGGACAGUGUCUGGUGGGUAGUUUGACUGGGGCGGUCUCCUCCCAAAGCGUAACGGAGGAGCACGAAGGUUAGCUAAUCCUGGUCGGACAUCAGGAGGUUAGUGCAAUGGCAUAAGCUAGCUUGACUGCGAGCGUGACGGCGCGAGCAGGUGCGAAAGCAGGUCAUAGUGAUCCGGUGGUUCUGAAUGGAAGGGCCAUCGCUCAACGGAUAAAAGGUACUCCGGGGAUAACAGGCUGAUACCGCCCAAGAGUUCAUAUCGACGGCGGUGUUUGGCACCUCGAUGUCGGCUCAUCACAUCCUGGGGCUGAAGUAGGUCCCAAGGGUAUGGCUGUUCGCCAUUUAAAGUGGUACGCGAGCUGGGUUUAGAACGUCGUGAGACAGUUCGGUCCCUAUCUGCCGUGGGCGCUGGAGAAUUGAGGGGGGCUGCUCCUAGUACGAGAGGACCGGAGUGGACGCAUCACUGGUGUUCGGGUUGUCAUGCCAAUGGCACUGCCCGGUAGCUAAAUGCGGAAGAGAUAAGUGCUGAAAGCAUCUAAGCACGAAACUUGCCCCGAGAUGAGUUCUCCCUGAGACUUUAAGUCUCCUGAAGGAACGUUGAAGACGAUGACGUUGAUAGGCCGGGUGUGUAAGCGCAGCGAUGCGUUGAGCUAACCGGUACUAAUGAACCGUGAGGCUUAACCUU